AGAGAGAGAGAGAGAGAGAGAGUUGAAUUCCACUUCAGCAGGAAAUGAUAUGCUUGUAUUUGACAAAUUAUGUUUCUGAAUACUUGGCUGUCAUGCGCAGACUUUAUAGCAUGCUUUCCUUCUCUUGCACUGCUUAGUAUUACUAUUUAGAUUAAUGUUUUCUACUUUAUUUAACAGUUGUGAGUGACAUUCACCAUGCCAUGUAUGACGUAUCUUCACAUUCUCAAGUUUGGCAUCACUUUCCGUCAAACUAGGCGAUUAACAGACGCUGAUACAUGGUGGUAGAUAAAACGUUUAAAUUCUAACAAUUGAAUAGUUUCGUUUUUGCUUAAAUUGCAUGCAGGAAGGAUCCUGCACUGCAUUUUUUUUUCCUCAACCUAACAAUUACAGACAACAACGGCAUGAACCGUGCAAAGAAUACGACAAAAUUGAGUACAUCAAAAACUGCUUGAAGAUAGAAUUACAUGUAUUAUUAUUCCUCUAAAUCAAGUCCACCAAUCCGUUGUCUCCUCUUAUCAAAAACAGCUUUAAAGGACUCAUGCUCUGCACGGAGUCUUCUUGGAAAGUACUACAUCUCCUCGGCUCGCCCAUACUUUGGGUUGAUGUUGGGCUUUCAUCUUCGGGUAAUGGGUUGGACUUCUGCGGGUGUUAAAGCAUUAGAUAGAAAUCACAAAGUUGACAACGUGUGCAGCUCGGCAGCUAGAGCCUUGUAGUAAAAGCUUCAUUUAUUAUGGGGGCUGAACUUGUGCAAUUUGUGUUCUGUUGUUGAAACUAAAAACAAAAUUUCAAUGUAGCUAGCCUGCCAAAAAAGCGGGCAACCUUUUCCAGCUAAGGCUAAAAAAGACCACCACAUGCUGCAUAUGAGUGCAAAUAUGCAGACCAAUAGUUAUGAUACAAGGGCCAACAUAAUCAUGGAGCAAAUUCAUUUUUAAUCAUCUUAAUUCGAACGAAAAAGACAACCAACUAGCUACACUAACUUACCAAAUUGUAUCCAGCACCUGGUCCAAUCACUAAAGACCGCAUAAUUGCCUUCUUUGCUGCACCUAUAGAAAACCCAUUGUUACCAACCUGGACAAGCAAAAUAGUUGUAAGAAGAAAAGGAGGAAAAAAAUGUUUAUUGAAAUUAUUAUGCUGUGAUACAAUUGACAUGAUUGGUUAUGGGAAAAUACAAGGAUGAAUGCAAUAUGGAAAGGAGAAGAGAAGAUGGAAAGGAAGAUGGGAGAGACAACCCCCUUAUGGCAGAGAAAAAUGUUCUAAACCCACAAUACAGAAGGGCCCAAAGAAGCAACAGCUAGAAAUCUAAGCAUUACAAGUAAAUAUAGAAGAUCCAGAUUCUGAAUACAGUUUAGGAUCAAAGGCACCAUGCUUCUUUACUUUCAUACAAUAGGUCAGUGCGUCACAUCCUUCUAUGCAUCAAAUGCUUGAAAAUGCCCUAUAAAACUUGCUUGUAGAUGCUCAAGAAUAUCAACACAAGACAAUCCAGUUGGUAAUCUUUCUUUGACAUACAUUAUAGUCCAAUUAUAUUUAUUGGCAUCUAAUAAGUUCCUUAACACAGGAAUGGAAUAGCAUUAACACCACAGAACAAAAGCCCGAAACAUAAUAGUUACCUGGUCACUCCAAUGCACAGAUUUUCCUUGCUUUCCAUAUGCUUGAAUUAACCCAGAAAGAGCAUUUAAAUUGCCCUUCAUUCUUUCAUACCCUUCUGUAUCAUCUUCAUCUAAAUCAUCUGACCAUUUACUUUUACCUAAUUCUUUCACUCCUUGUGCAGAAUGGUCCUCUUCAGCAUCCCAUCUCUUCCCAUCUUUUGGAGGAACCUGAGGCAGAUUAUCCUCCAAGAGUUCAGGUAUGGCCUUCUCAGUAUUUCUUUCCAGCAGUCCAGGUGGAUUAUCAUCAUCUUCAGUAUCCAUAUCAACCUCUUGAAUUCCACUUUCCUUCAGAUCAUCACCGUGGAAUAAUGACUUGAUAUCCAGUUGCAAGUAUAAUGCCGGAGCUUCUUCCCACUGCCGAGCCAUGUCCUUUAUUUCAGUUAGUGUAAAACCAUGUACAUUCCUAGCUGCACAGCCCUGAAAUUCCACAGGAUUAUCAACAUGAAGCCACCAAAUCAGAGUGAGGAACUUAUGUCCAAUUUAUGAUAGCACAGGGUCUUUAUAUGGAGCUUCUGAUAUGUAAACUUCAUAGCCAGAUCUCUGAAAAAAAAAAAGUGAGGCAAUGAACGGAUAGUUACACAAUUUUAAAUGAAUAGAUAAUUAAGAAAGGGUAUUGAGUCUUAAAAGGACAUAUUAAAUUAAAAAUUCUAACUUGGAAGCUGAUAUCGCAGGAACUUGCUCUCCAUUCACAAAAUUCCAAGGCUGUGGCAUGGCUAAAAAAUUCAGAACUCUAACGUGUGUGUGAGUUGGGAAAUCUAAAGUGAAAUACGGAUUAAAAAAUGCAACGAUUUCUUACGAACUGAUCAAAGAUAUUAUGAUUAUUUGCUAAGAAAUUCCAAAUGUUCAGUUCCAAGAUCCAUAAAUAGCAUCAAUUUUUGACAAAGCCAAUUUAAAAACAGAAUAAAAUAUUAUAUAAAUUUGAAUCUUCUCAUUGAACUCUCUUAUAUAUUCAUGCUUGGAUUCUAACUUGUUAUAGAUAUGACUGCCUUCUUGGAAGUAAUUUUUGCUGCAAUAACAAACAAUAAAAGAUAACUGGUUGGAUCAUAGUAAGUAAUAACUAUGAUAAAAAGGUUUGUAAUUUUUAAUCUCUAAAAGAAUUUGAUAAGAAGCGGAAUUUGCCCUUUGUUGGUCUCUUGGUGAGUCCACCAGUGACCUGUGUUGAAGAUGAUCAUAUCAGCUUCAUGGUACUUGGUAGAAAUUCCUAGCCAGUUGAGAAUUUCUCAUAAAAUCAUCACCAAACAAAUUAAUUUCCUUGCUUUAUUCAUUAAUAUGA
rnacentral:misc_RNA from 1 species